ACGGCGGUAUGUCUGAUUCGUCUCGCUUUCUCUUCCUUCCUACCAUAACCACCUGCUCCGAUCUCCUUCGAAGAGAUGGGCUUGCUCGCAAGAGAGAAGGAUCUGCUUCCCCAUCUUCUCCGGUUCUUUUUCUAAAGCGAUGAGCAGGAUUAAGGGAUUUCAAGCUUUUUUUGGCUCACUAAUUCUGGGAACAUAUACUCAGGCAGUGAACUGAAGAAUUGGCACGGUGCAGUGCAGUUGGUAUGCAGCAAUAUUUGAAACAUUGGCUGCCUUUCAUUAAAGAGUAGUUUGAGUAACUUAUAUCAUCCGAUUUUGAUAAUGAUGAUAGUUUGGGAAGCAAAGGCAGGGAUGGAAGUCGUACCUGUUUUCAUAACGGUUGAUCCUGAGAGAGAUAAUGUUGAACAAGUAUGUGAAUGUGUGAAAGAUUUCUUUGCUUUGGAUUGCAGAAUUUCACCCAGACUUAAUAGGCUUGACUGGUACAGCAGAUGAGACUAGACCAGUUGCUCAUGCUUUUCGAGUCUAUUACAUGAAGACGGAGCAGGAGGGUUCUGACUACCUUGUCGACCACUCUAUUGUUAUGUACAUAUUGCUGAUAGAACCUUCUCAGGUGCAAUUUAUUUAACAGGUGUCAUGCUGCAUUUUUGUCGGAGACAAGCCAAGGUGCGAAUACAGCGUAUGAGGUUUACCGCUAAUGUAGGAUCUCAAGGGGAUCAGCCUCCUUUGUAUAUAGAGGAGCUGUUCCCACGACGUGAAGACACUGGCAUGGACAGGGUCACAGGGUACAAUUGCCAACUGCAUGGAUAUUCAAAUUCUGCCUCUUGAUUUUAUUAAUCAUGAUUGGUAUUUAAAUGCAAGUUAUGAUGGCUUUCAUUAUCAUGAACAGGUAUUGUUGGCUGAUUCAACUAUGAGCAUUUUGAAAGUAGUUUCUUCCAUGAUCAUUUCUGCCUCAACUUGAGUGGUAUUACUGAAUCUUCCAAAACAAGUUACAUGAUGACGUCAGGACCAUAAAAGAAGAGUUUGUGAAUGGUCCUACAUAUGUCAUAAAUUUUAUGGUCCUUUUUGUCCAUUCAGUAUUAGCAUGAUUCAUAGAGACAUUUAAUAUAAUCGCUUUUAGUGUGACCUUCUGUCUUGUAUUUUGCAAUUUCAAGACCCAGAUAUUUGAAUGCAUCUCUAGGUCUGCAUCUUUACAUAUAAAAUUCUGUUUGAUUUUGAUGCAUACAUGCUGAUUACUCUGCUUGAAGUUGUAUUGUUUACUGAAAUCACUUCUUGUAGUGGGCUGAAGCUUGUAAGCUGUCAUAGAUCUUUUAAACAUGUUCUGGCAAUUAGAUCCAUUGUACUGAUUUUUUUGUUCUGAACAGCUUGCAGGUGCUUGAUGAACCCAAACAUGGAGCUCGUCAAAUUUUUUGGCAAGAAUUAUGAUGCUGAUGCACGUGCAGAAGGUGUGGUCAAAGAGAUCAAAGCAUGCACAUGAUAGAUACAAUGGCAUUCUUUUGCUAUCCAAAACUCAACUUAUUUGUGAAUUAAUCAUUAAUGCAUUCAUUCAUGUGUUAGGCAUCAUAGUUCUACGGCAACCAUGUUUCUCGGUGUGAUUUUGAGUUGGUAAUAAGCUGUAGGACUGUACAAAAGUAUUGUUUCAUAAGCAUCCUCUUCUAACUCAUACAGAGAGUUCGAACUCACAUGCAUAAGAGUAUUCCCAUCA